CCCGGGCGACGCCUCUGGUCUUAAAGCGGUAGGAAACACUGACCUAGUUAGGGGAGCCAAGCAGCUCAGCUCACCCCUCUGUUUUGAGUCAUUUUCUUCUAGUCCUCCCUCGGAGCUAACCCGUUUUAAAUUAUGCAGGCAACUGUUUAUUGAAUUGGCCUCAUCCUAGGCUGUGGGACCAUUAUGACCUCAUAAUGUGGUUAAAACAAGCUGGUACGCACAGUUUCUGCUUGAUGUACCACUUCAUUUGUUUCGGGAAGUCAGAGGAGGUAACUCCUUGUUUGGGGAGAGGCCGCGGCGAUUUCACGCCGGACUGCGAAUGGCGAAAGACUAUUCCAAGCACAUAGUGGGGUGGGGAGUCUGAUGAAGCAGGCUUCAAAGGGACUGCCUUACCCUCUCCCAGGGUGGAAGCCAUUUGGGAUGGGCCCCAGCUUGAUAGUUUUUCCUCAAGAACAAAGCUGCCUUCUACGAUUGCAUAUCUGAUGGGAAAGAGGGGAGUUUCAGGAUCCUCAGGUUUGGAUCCUCUAAGAAAACUGCCCUAUCGAUCCAGCUGCCAGGAGUCACUGCAAAAGCAGCUUGGAAAGAAGCCUAUGCUGUAAGCCAGUGAGUUUCUACAGCUAUUAAUCAUUAAGGACAAAAAGCAACAAAAGAGAAUUACUCCCUGUGCUUAUGGGGAAAACAAAGUAGGAAAAACCAAUGAAAUGAAAACACCUGCAAAACAACGCCCAUCCUGAAACAUCCAACAUCUGUCAACAGAACUCAGCUCAGAAACAAAGACCAAACCAGAAUCUACCCGAGGCCCAGAUCCUACUUAGAAUUAAAAACCUUGGGCAUUGAGGGCUGGAGAGAUGGCUCAGAGGUUAAGAGCACUGACUGCUCUUCCAGAGGUCCUGAGUUCAAUUCCCAGCAACCACAUGGUGACUCACAACUCUCUGUUAUGAGAUCUGGUGCCCU